UACGAAGGGGGCGAGAGUUGUUCGGAAUCACUGGGCGUAAAGCGCACGUAGGCGGCGCGUUAAGUCAGGGGUGAAAUCCUGGAGCUCAACUCCAGAACUGCCUUUGAUACUGGCGUGCUCGAGUGUGGGAGAGGUUGGUGGAACUCCGAGUGUAGAGGUGAAAUUCGUAGAUAUUCGGAAGAACACCAGUGGCGAAGGCGGCCAACUGGCCCAUUACUGGCGGUGAGGUGCGAAAGCGUGGGGAGCAAACAGG
rnacentral:rRNA from 1 species